rnacentral:rRNA from 1 species
AUUGAACGCUGGCGGAAUGCUUUACACAUGCAAGUCGAACGGUAGAGGGGGCAACCCCUUGAGAGUGGCGAACGGGUGAGUAAUAUAUCGGAACGUGCCCAGUCGUGGGGAUAACGUAGCGAAAGUUACGCUAAUACCGCAUACGAUCUAAGGAUGAAAGCGGGGGACCUCGCAAGAGCCUCGCGCGAUUGGAGCGGCCGAUAUCAGAUUAGGUAGUUGGUGGGGUAAAGGCUCACCAAGCCAACGAUCUGUAGCUGGUCUGAGAGGACGACCAGCCACACUGGAACUGAGACACGGUCCAGACUCCUACGGGAGGCAGCAGUGAGGAAUAUUGGGACAAUGGGCGCAAGCCUGAUCCAGCCAUGCCGCGUGCAGGAUGACGGUCCUAUGGAUUGUAAACUGCUUUAUACAGGAAGAAACACUCCGACGUGUCGGAGCUUGACGGUACUGUAAGAAUAAGGAUCGGCUAACUCCGUGCCAGCAGCC